rnacentral:ncRNA from 1 species
GCUUACUGGCCGGGUCAUGGUUAAUCCGGAGCGAUCCGGAGGACGAAGAGGGAAGCCCGGUGAAAAUCCGGCACUGCCCCCGCAGCUGUAAGCGGUGAGCGAGGUUGCAACGCCACUGGGAAACCGGGAAGGGCAGCCGAGCCGAGACCUGCGAGUCAGAAGACCUGCCAUGGCACGAAAGGACCA